AAAAUGGCGACCGGAAGUGCUGCCAUUGGGACUACCUAAGACUGCUUAUAAAUACUAUUUUAAUAAUGCCGGUCUGGUCGAUGACUGCCAUCAACAGAGUACGAAAUCACCUUGAACUUGAAAAUGUUGUGUUUCAAAUACAGAACCUAUAUUUGAGUUUCCAAGAAUCCAAUUACUACCCCCAAAAUGUCUGACAAUAACAAGAAUAAUAUAAGUGAUGAAGUGAAGAAAAAGAAAAUAAAACAUUACUGGACAAAAUUCAAUGACAACUGGCUAACAAAUGUGAGGUAUCAAAGCAUGGUAUAAAACAUAAAAUUUUAGAUAUUUACACCGACUAUUAUAAGUCAUCUGAAGUGAUAUCUAACAAAAUAACAGUGUGUCUAAAAGAGAAUGGCCUUACAAUUGAAUAUGUUACAUCUUAUUCAGCCGACAAUGCCUCAGUUAAUUAUGGAAAGAACAAUUCUGUUUUUCAAAAAUUAUGUAAGUUAAAUGCAUAUACGUUAAAGGCAAAUUGUUUGUCAUGUUAUUUACAAUGCAGCUACAUUUGCUUGUAAAAAAUUACCACCAGAAUUUGAUACAGAAACACUUGUGAAUAAAAUAUAUUCUGAACUUUCAUGUAGCACAACAGCCAUAAGAGAA